CCGAGUUUACAACUCCCAAACCCCUGUGAACAUACCUAUACGUUGCCUCGGCGGAUCAGCCCGCGCCCCGUAAAAAGGGACGGCCCGCCCGAGGAUCCCUAAACUCUGUUUUUAGUGGAACUUCUGAGUAAAACAAACAAAUAAAUCA
rnacentral:misc_RNA from 1 species